CUCUUUAGCAAAACAGAGCAGAAGGGAAGCUCUGCAAAGGACAGCACGCACUGCUGGAGGGAGAACACAGAGGGGAACAUUGCUGACAGACAAGCAGUGAUGGACCUGACUUCAGCUCUCUCACUGGAAAUCUGGGUCCUCCUGGUAACCAGCUUUAUUUUCCUAUACCGAUUGGGGACCCAAAACCAUGACAUUUUUAAGAAACAGGGAAUUCCUGGGCCCAAACCUCUGCCAUUUUUAGGAACCAUGCUCAAUUACUACAAGGGUAUAUGGAAAUUCGAUGUUGAGUGUUAUAAAAAGUAUGGGAAAAUAUGGGGGUUGCUUGAUGGUCCAACACCCCUGUUUAUCUUUGCAGACCCAAACAUGAUCAAGAAAGUUCUUGUAAAGGAAUGCUAUUCUGUCUUCACAAACCGACGGGAUAUGGGCCCACUGGGUAGGAUGAGUAAUGCCAUCUUCCUAGCUAAGGAUGAGGAGUGGAAGAGAAUUCGAGCCUUGCUGUCUCCCACCUUCAGCAGUGGAAAACUCAAAGAGAUGUUCCCCAUAAUUGAAGAGUAUGGAGAUACUUUGGUAACAUACUUGAGAAGAGAGGCAGAGAAAGGCAAGCCUAUCAACAUGAAAAAAGUGUUUGGGGCCUACAGCAUGGAUGUGAUCACAAGCGUGGCAUUUGGUGUGAACGUCGAUUCCCUCAACAAUCCAAAGGACCCUUUUGUGGAAAAGGCCAAGGAUUUCUUAAAAAUAGAUUUUUUUCACCCGUUUUUCUUUUCAAUACUUCUCUGUCCAUCCCUUAUCCAAAUCUAUGAGAUGUUAAAUGUCUCCAUGUUUCCAAAAAAAUCAAUAGAAUUUUUCAAAAAAUUUGUGGAAAGAAUGAAAGAAAAUCGCCUUGCUUCUAACCAGAAGCACCGAGUGGAUGUUUUUCAGCUGAUGAUUGACACACAAAAUAAUUCCAAAGACAACGAGUCUCAUAAAGCUCUGACUGACAUGGAGAUCGUGGCCCAGUCAAUUAUUUUAAUUUUUGCUAGUUAUGAAACCACCAGCAGCACACUUGCCUUUGCCCUGCAUUCACUGGCCACUCACCCUGAUAUCCAGAAGAAACUGCAAGAAGAGAUCGAUAUGGCUCUGCCCAAUAAGGAACCUCCCAACUAUGAUAAAGUGAUGGAGAUAGAGUACCUUGACAUGGUGCUGAAUGAAGUCCUCAGAUUAUACCCAGUUGGCAUGAGACUUGACAGAUUCUGUAAACAGGAUGUGGAAAUUGAUGGUGUGCUUGUUCCCAAAGGGUCUGUAGUGGUUAUACCAGUUUAUGCUCUUCACCAUGACCCACAGUACUGGCCAGAGCCUACAGAAUUGCGCCCUGAAAGGUUCAGCAAGGAAAACAAGGGCAGCAUCAAUCCUCAUGUAUACCUGCCCUUUGGAAAUGGACCCAGGAACUGCAUUGGCACGAGGUUUGCUCUCAUGAACAUGAAACUUGCUCUUACAAAAGUCCUGCAGAACUUCUCCUUCCAGCCCUGUAAGGAAACACAGAUAACCAGAAAUUUUGCGACUGCAUGUGUGCAAUUGUCCUCUCUGCUCCUGAAGACACCAAGAAACUAAACCCUUUUACCAUCAUAGUCACCGGAGUUUGGGGCUGGUUGAAAACCGAUCUUAUUAGUAAAGAUUAUUCUAGAAUUCAGUGACCUAUGAGGAUGUGCACAUUGACAUCACUCAGGAUGAGUGGGCUUUGUUAAAUCCUUCCCAAAAGAGUCUCUACAAAGAUGUGAUGGUGGAGACAUACAGAAACUUCACUGCUAUUGGUAUGAAAGAAACCAUAAUGGAGAGAAACCCUCUGAAUAUACUCAAUGUGUUAAAGCCUUUGCAUGUUAUAGUCAUCUUCAAAGGCAUAAAAAAAUUCAUUCUGCUGAGAAGCCACAUGAUGGUCUUCAAUAUGAUGAAGCUUUGAAGGUACCAGUUGUCACCAAAUACUUAAAGAACACAAGCUGGAGAGAAACCCUGUGAAUUUAAUCAAUGUGGUAAAGACUUUUCAUAUGUCAGAAGUCUCCAAGUUCACAAAAGAGGAGACACUGAAAAGAAAACCUAUGAAUGUAAUCAAUGUGAUAAAGCUUUUUCAAAAUGAUCUCAACUCCAAAUACAUCAAAGAACACAUACUAAAGAGAAACCCUAUAAAUUUACUUAAUGUGGUAAAAACCUUUGCACUUAAAUAUAAUCUCCAAAUAUAUAAAAGAACACAUACUGGAGAAAAACCCUCCACAUGUAAUCAGUGUGGUAAAGCCUUUUCCCAUCUUAGUAGUCUAAAAACACAUAAAAAAUUCAUACAGGAGAGAAACCCUAUGCAUGUGAUCAAUGUGAUAAAGCCUUUUCAUGUGUCAGUAACUUAAAACCACAAAAAUACAUACUGGAGACAAACCCUAUGAAUGUAAUAAAUGUGGUAAAGAUUUUUCAUAUGUCAAAAGAAUCAAAGUUCACAAAAGAGCACAUACUGGAGAGAAAACCUAUGAAUGUACUCAAUGUGAUAAAGUCUUUUCCCAACUUAGUAAUCUAAAAACACAUAAAAGAACACAUACUGGAGAGAAACCCUAUGAAUGUAAUCAAUAUGGUAAAGCCUUUUCACUGAAGAGUAAUCUUCGAGUACAUCAAAGGACUCAUAUUGGAGAGAAACCUUAUCAAUGUAAUCAAUUUGAUAAAGCUUUUGCGAGUCAUAGUGAACUUCACAGACAUAAAAGAACACAUACUGGAGAGAAACACUAUGAAUGUGAUCAAUGUGGUAAAGCCUUUUCGUAUAUCAAUACUCUCCAACUUCACAAAAGAACACACAUGGGAGAGAAACCCUACACAUGUAAUCAGUGUGGUAAAACCUUUUCACAACUGGAUAAUCUAAAAACACAUAAAAGAAUACAUACUGGAGAGAAACCCUAUGAAUUCAGUCAAUGUGGUAAAGCCUUUUUACAUGUCAGUAAUCUCCAAACACAUAAAGGAACCUAUACAUCUUCAACGGUAUGGAAAAAGGCAUUCUGCAGAGAAGCUAUAUUAUGAUAUUCAUUAUGAUGUAGCCUUUGCAGGUAUCAGUUGACUCCAAAUACAUAAGAGAACACAAAUUGGAGAGAAACCCUGUGAAUAUAAUCAAUGUAGUAAAGAAUUUCUAUAAGUCAGAAGUCUCCAAGUUCACAAAAGACCACAUACUGGAGAGAAAACCUAUGAAUGUAAUCAAUGUGAUAUAGCUUUUUCAAAAUGCUCUAAACUCAAAAUACACAAAAGAACACAUACUCAAAAGAAAUUCUAUGAAUGUAGUGAAUUUGACAUAAAGUCUUUACAUGUCAAUGUAGUCUCCAAAUACAUAAAAAAAAAACACAUACUGGAGAGAAACCCAACACAUGUAAUCAAUGUGGUAAAGCCUUUUCACAGAACAGUAGUGUUUGAGUA